ACGCGAAAGCCCCCUUCGGGGGGCAAGUAGAGUGGCGCACGGGUGAGUAACACGUAGGUAAUCUACCUUUGGAUGGGGAAUAACCACCGGAAACGGUGGCUAAUACCGCAUAAUGCAGCGGCACCUAAUGGUGACAGUUGUUAAAGCGGGGGAUCGCAAGACCUCGCGUCUGAAGAGGAGCCUGCGGCGGAUUAGCUAGUUGGUAAGGUAAAGGCUUACCAAGGCGAUGAUCCGUAGCCGGCCUGAGAGGGCGGUCGGCCACACUGACACUGACAUACGGGUCAGACUCCUACGGGAGGCAGCAGUCGGGAAUUUUGGGCAAUGGGCGAAAGCCUGACCCAGCAACGCCGCGUGAAGGAUGAAAUCCCUCGGGAUGUAAACUUCGCAAGAACGGGAAGAAUAAGCCGGUGUCAACACCACCGGCGAUGACGGUACUGUUUGUAAGCUCCGGCUAACUCCGUGCCAGCAGCCGCGGUAAUACGGNGGGGGGCGAGCGUU
rnacentral:rRNA from 1 species